rnacentral:misc_RNA from 1 species
UUGAUAAGCGUGAGGUCGGAAGUUCAAGUCUUCCCAGGCCCACCACUUUGAUCGAGUGCGGAGCAUUCGUCUUCUGGUUACGGGGCCAUAGCUCAGCUGGGAGAGCGCGUGCUUUGCAAGCAUGAGGUCGUCGGUUCGAUCCCGUCUGGCUCCACCAGAUGGAAUUGAAGUUCGAGAAUGCCUCGUUCAAAACCGUCCGCGAAACAUCACUCCGCAUUCAUUAGUCCGGAUGGGCAAUGACAUGCGUGUUUUCUGACAUCGUAAAGAGGAGAUCGAUCCGAGUUUGGAUCAAGCGAAGCAAUUCGCCUGAGCCAUUCAUUAUCUCCGGGAUCAUUUCGGCGCUCGCUUUCAAUUGUGAGAUUGAAUGCGAGUUGUAAAUGAUCCCUUUUAGCGAAGCUUGACCGCCUCGCUAUCGGGCCGAUCUUAUGAAGCAAGCUGGUCUUUCUAAUCAAUGUCCGGCUGCGACAAUCGCAUUCAUCGAGGAUGCGUGCCUUCAAUGGCAGUUGCGCAGACAACAUUCUGCCGAGUGUGUGGAUAUUGAUAAUGAGAGCAAUCAAGUGCCUUAAGGGUGUUCGGUGGAUGCCUUGGCGCUGAGAGGCGAUGAAGGACGUGCUACGCUGCGAUAAGCCGUGGGGAGCUGCGAAGAAGCUU